rnacentral:rRNA from 1 species
AACUUUCAACAACGGAUCUCUUGGUUCUGGCAUCGAUGAAGAACGCAGCGAAAUGCGAUAAGUAAUGUGAAUUGCAGAAUUCAGUGAAUCAUCGAAUCUUUGAACGCACAUUGCGCCCGCCAGUAUUCUGGCGGGCAUGCCUGUCCGAGCGUCAUUUCAACCCUCGAACCCCUCCGGGGGGUCGGCGUUGGGGAUCGGGAA